AGCUCAUGAUUGGGUUUAAAGCGCGCGUAGGCGGACAUUUAAGUCAGGGGUGAAAUCCCAGAGCUCAACUCUGGAACUGCCUUUGAUACUGGGUGUCUUGAGUGUGAGAGAGGUAUGUGGAACUCCGAGUGUAGAGGUGAAAUUCGUAGAUAUUCGGAAGAACACCAGUGGCGAAGGCGACAUACUGGCUCAUUACUGACGCUGAGGCGCGAAAGCGUGGGGAGCAAACAGGAUUAGAUACCCUGGUAGUCCACGCCGUAAACGAUGAUUGCUAGUUGUCGGGCUGCAUGCAGUUCGGUGACGCAGCUAACGCAUUAAGCAAUCCGCCUGGGGAGUACGGUCGCAAGAUUAAAACUUAAAAAAUUAGACGG
rnacentral:rRNA from 1 species